UCAACUAGAAAAGUACUCCUAAAAUAGAACUCUAUUAAGAAAAUACUUCUAUAAAUAUUGAGAUCUAGAGAAUAAUUAUUUAUACUAAUUUAUGCACACAAUAUGCUUAGGUCUUUCAGUAAAAUAUAUGCGUGUCUUUUUUUUACGUUUUUCUUUAACUGUUUUUUUAUUCUCUCUUCUCCUUCUUCCUUUGAAUUGAUUCACUUGUAUUUCUUAGAUGUUAGGUAGUUGGUUUUUUAUUUUGUAAA
rnacentral:lncRNA from 1 species